rnacentral:tRNA from 1 species
GUUGGGAUAGCCUAAUGGUCUAAGGCGGCAUGUUAAGUAUGUGCUCCGAAAGGGGCGUGGGUUCGAAUCCCACUCUCAACA